UAAAAAAAAAUCUACAUAAUAAGUUUCGUAUAGGGUCUUAAACUAUAUGCUUAUUAGAAAUUAUACAACUAUACAAAAUCAGUUCAUAUCAUUUAUAAAUCUAAGAAGGUAUAUAUGAGAGGUUAUUAAGAUCAGCCAACCAUCAUUAACACAUGAAUCUUAAUGCUAAAUAGCCACAGAUCAACAUGAAAUUUAAAAAUAUAUAUAUUGUUAUUUAUUUUUGAAAUAUUUUAACUAAAAAAUAUUUUUUUUUCAAAAAUUUCAAGAACUUCCAUCAAUCUAUAGAUCAGCCACCAAAUAGUGUAAUGUGAUUUUUCCACACUCUAAUUGCAAGUUAAAUGGGUGAAAAAAAAAAAAGAAUUUUCUCCAAUUUUUUCCAAAUUCGCAAAUGGGAGGUUGAAAUCCAUGAUUGAGCAUGCAAAAUUUUUUCCAUCUUUGUUGCAAUGAUUCAAAGUGAUUUACAACCAAAAAAAGAAAAAAAAAAGAUUAAAAUUAUAAUAAUAGUAGUAGUAGUAGCAAUCGUUUGCAAUUCCGAACCCACCCACUCUCCGAUAUCAAUUUCCGCACCCAAAUCUCCUUCUCUCCAAACAAUCAAAGGGGUUGAUUGAAAUCAGCUUAAGAAUGGAUUAAAAGCAAAAACAAAACUUGAGAGAAAAUAGGCUUUUUCAAUUUUUCAAAAAGGGGACUGUGAUGUCUUGGAAACAAUGAUAUAUAUCAUAUGCAUUGUAGAUACCAGUAAAUUUAUAACGGUGUUAAACUGAAAAUAUUGCAAUGUAUCGAUAUUUCUACGAUACAUUGUGAUAUUUACCGAAAUAUUGACCGAUAUUUGGAAGUCCAGUAACUUCUGGGCUGUUUCGUAUCGUUGGCCCUCGAUACAAAUAGUAUCGGCCAAUAUAACACUAAUCACAACAGCGGUUCCAACCAUUUCAGUGGUUGGGAUCCAAUGUAUUUCUUUCCACACGUCCUUAAGAGUGAAGGUCAUAUUAUUCAUCAUUACAAUUUCAUCAUUCCUCUAUUGAACCAAUUGCAAUUUAAUUCAAUAAUGAAUUCAAAUGCAGACCAAGCUUUCGUAAUGAAAUAUACUCUUUUUUUCAUCAAAAAAUCUUCCGUAUAAAGUACUUUUUGGCUAGAUACACUAGUCUAUACAUUUGACCAGAUCUUUAAGGCAUGUUUAAUUUGUUGUAAUGUAAAGGAAUUGUAAGGAAAUAGGCAGUGAUUUCAAAUUACUUUACCCAUCUCCUUACAUUAGCUGCAUUUGCCUAUUAAUGAUGGCAUUUUUACAAUGUUUGAUUACGUUGAACCGUAAUUACAUAGAAAAGAGCAAUGAUUAGAAAUUACUCAUCUCCUUAAUACAUCUGCAUUUGACCGGCCAUUCCCUUGUUUGAUUUGGUUGUGGUAAAAUUGCAAUGAUGACAUAACUCCUUCCAGGAAAAUCAAACAGGCCCUUGGAUGAUGAACGGUAUGGAUCACUCUAACAUCAUGUGGGUGGGCCCAAAACGUGAAUGUUGCCCAUGUUUCAUGGAUGGGUAUUGUUCUCCAAAAAAAACAAAAACAAAAACAAAAAGAACAAAA